CUUGGUCAUUUAGAGGAAGUAAAAGUCGUAACAAGGUUUCCGUAGGUGAACCUGCGGAAGGAUCAUUAUCAUACAACCGAGGCGUGAGGGCUAUAUAGCCCGAGCGUUCUCACUGUUAUCCACUUCACCCUUGUGCAUCACCGCGUGGUGCUCCCUUUGGCUCGUUUCAAAGGGGCCCAUGUUUUUUUUUCACACAAACACCCCUUUAAAAGAGUUUAGAAUGUUCUUUGCGAUAAUACGCAAUCAAUACAACUUUCGACAACGGAUCUCUUGGCUCUCGCAUCGAUGAAGAACGCAGCGAAAUGCGAUACGUAAUGUGAAUUGCAGAAUUCAGUGAAUCAUCGAAUCUUUGAACGCACCUUGCGCCCCUUGGCAUUCCGAGGGGCACACCCGUUUGAGUGUCGUGACAACCUCAAACCUUCUCGGUUUCUUGACCGGGGGAGGCUUUGGACUUUGGAGGCAUCUUGCUGGCUUCUUUCUUUGAAGCCAGCUCCUCUUAAAUUGAUUAGUGGGGUCCCCAUUGCAGUUCCCUCGACGUGAUAAGAUGUUUCUACGUCUUGGGGAGAUAGGCAUUGUAAACCUGCUUCGAACCGUCUCGUUGGAGACAUUGAUUGGGCUUGCCACCUUCCGUGGGUGGGAAGCUCAACCCAGAAACCAUUGACCUCAAAUCGGGUGAGACUACCCGCUGAACUUAAGCAUAUCAAUAAGCGGAGGA
rnacentral:rRNA from 1 species